UACAGGAAUAUGGGGAAGUAGCUGAAGUGUUAAAGAGGCAGUAACAUUUGCUCUUUAAGGACUGGGAGUUUGCCUGGUGGAAUAAAGGAGACAGAAAUUCAAGGAAAACAGAAGGGUUUAUGCAAAGAAAAGGCAAUACAAAAGAACUUGGCUAUGUUCAAGACAUGGAAGUGUCUGUGGUUGAAGCACGGGUCUAUUUCUCCAGACUACUGAAGAAAUAUAAGGUCAACCAGGCUGAAGGAAUACAACUGAGAAAGAAAUGAAGAAAGAAAAUACUCCGUCUCAUCAAACCCAGUAUGAAGACGUUGCAUAUAGUUUUAUAAAUGCCCCAAACAAAAUUAAGUGGAAGGCAUAGGAAAAGGAAAAUAACCAAAGGCAGGUAGAGGAAAAGA